CAAAGCAAUCCUUGGAUAUGUUGUUGGAGUUCGGAGAAUAGGAAAAGCACCAGGGGAUAGAAAUAUCUACACAGUAGUAGUACAGCGUGUCUUUAAGAGAACCAGAUAUCUAAAGUAUGUGAUUCGAAUAGAAUCCAAUGUCUCCAGUGCUGCUUGUGGUGUUAAUUUACAAGUGGGAAAAACUUACGUCAUUUCCGGUAGUGCAAAUAAGUACAGAUUUUCAACCAACUCUUGCCAGUUCAUCCGUGAAUGGAGAAGAAUCCCUCUGUCACAAAGGAAAGGACUAUUCUGUAGAAAAAGAUACCUGUUUCAGAAGAAAAGCAGCUGGCAUAAUGGUCAAUAUAGACCUUGGUGGAAUAGAACAUAAUUUAUUGAAUUUG